GGAGGGUUCGCCUAGUGGACGAUGGCGGCGGUCUUGAAAACCGCUAGGCCGGGUGACCGGUCUCGUGGGUUCGAAUCCCACACCCUCCG
rnacentral:tRNA from 2 species